rnacentral:rRNA from 1 species
GACGAACGCUGGCGGCGUGCCUAAUACAUGCAAGUAGAACGCUGAAGGCGGAGCUUGCUUCUCUGGAUGAGUUGCGAACGGGUGAGUAACGCGUAGGUAACCUGCCUGGUAGCGGGGGAUAACUAUUGGAAACGAUAGCUAAUACCGCAUAAUAGUAGAUGUUGCAUGACAUUUGCUUAAAAGGUGCAAUUGCAUCACUACCAGAUGGACCUGCGUUGUAUUAGCUAGUUGGUGGGGUAACGGCUCACCAAGGCGACGAUACAUAGCCGACCUGAGAGGGGGAUCGGCGGCACGGGGACGGAGACAGGGCCAAGACGCCUAAGGGAGGCAGCAGUCGGGAAUGGGCGGCAGUAGACGGAAGUCUUACCGAGCGACGCCGAGUGAGUGAAGAAGGUUUUCGGAUCGUAAAGAUCGGUUGUAAGAUAAGAACGGGUGUGGGAGUGGAAAGUGCACACGGGAAGGGAAUCGGACCAGAAGGGCACGGCAAACUACGG